rnacentral:piRNA from 1 species
UGUCAAUAGUGACAGGGUCUGAG